GAUCCUAAACUUGCUGCUGUUUUUGAUUAAAAUUAUACAUGUAAGCAUCCACACACCAGUGAAACAAGCCCUAAAAGUAAAAAUGGAGCAGGUAUCAGGCACGAAACUUAGCCCAAAACACCUUGCUACGCCACACCCCCACGGGACAUCAACAGUAACAGACAUUAGGCUAUAAGCGAUACACCAAACAAAAGCUUGACCUAGUUAUAAUCAUUUCAGGGCCGGCUAAUCUCGUGCCAGCCGCCGCGGUUACACGAAAGGCCCAAAUCAGCAUCCAACGGCGUAAAUUAUGACUAGAAUAUUCUGCCCCCAAAAAAGAAGUAAACCCCUACCUAACCGUAAAACACAGGUAAAAUGAAACUUCUUUAAUUUUAGCAAUUUGAACUCAUGAAAGCUAGGAAACAAACUAGGAUUAGAUACCCUACUAUGCCCUGCCAUUAACAAGAUAUUCACCAACAAAAUAUCCGCCAGAAGACUACAAGCGAAAAGCUUAAAACUCAAAAGACUUGGCGGUGUCCCACACCCGACUUAGAGGAGCCUGUCCUAUAAUCGAUAAUCCACGAUAGACCCCACCGCCUUUUGCCAAACCCGCCUAUAUACCGCCGUCGAAAACCUACCUCACAAGAGAACUACCGUAGGUAAAAUAGUUACCACUAGAACGUCAGGUCAAGGUGUAGCUAAU
rnacentral:rRNA from 1 species